AGUGAACGCUGGCGGUAGGCCUAACACAUGCAAGUCGAACGGCAGCACAGUAAGAGCUUGCUCUUACGGGUGGCGAGUGGCGGACGGGUGAGGAAUAUAUCGGAAUCUACUUUUUCGUGGGGGAUAACGUAGGGAAACUUACGCUAAUACCGCAUACGACCUACGGGUGAAAGCAGGGGAUCUUCGGACCUUGCGCGAUUGAAUGAGCCGAUGUCGGAUUAGCUAGUUGGCGGGGUAAAGGCCCACCAAGGCGACGAUCCGUAGCUGGUCUGAGAGGAUGAUCAGCCACACUGGAACUGAGACACGGUCCAGACUCCUACGGGAGGCAGCAGUGGGGAAUAUUGGACAAUGGGCGCAAGCCUGAUCCAGCCAUACCGCGUGGGUGAAGAAGGCCUUCGGGUUGUAAAGCCCCUUUGUUGGGAAAGAAAAGCAGCAGGUUAAUACCCCGCUGUUCUGACGGUACCCAAAGAAUAAGCACCGGCUAACUUCGUG
rnacentral:rRNA from 1 species